rnacentral:rRNA from 1 species
CCUACGGGAGGCAGCAGUGGGGAAUUUUGCGCAAUGGGGGCAACCCUGACGCAGCAACGCCGCGUGAGUGAUGAAGGCCUUCGGGUUGUAAAGCCCUUUUGGCAGGGAAGAGCAAGGACUGUACCUGCAGAACAAGUCACGGCUAACUCCGUGCCAGCAGCCGCGGUAAUACGGAGGGUGCGAGCGUUGUUCGGAAUUAUUGGGCGUAAAGCGCGUGUAGGCGGUUUGUUAAGUCUGAUGUGAAAGCCCCGGGCUCAACCUGGGAAGUGCAUUGGAUACUGGCAGACUUGAGUACGGGAGAGGAGAGUGGAAUUCCCAGUGUAGGAGUAAAAUCCGUAGAUAUUGGGAGGAACACCGGUGGCGAAGGCGGCUCUCUGGACCGAUACUGACGCUGAGACGCGAAAGCGUGGGGAGCAAACAGGAUUAGAUCCCCCUGUAGU